rnacentral:rRNA from 1 species
UACGUAGGACCCAAGCGUUGUCCGGAUUUACUGGGUGUAAAGGGUGCGCAGGCGGAUGGGUAAGUCAGGGGUGAAAGUCUGCAGCUUAACUGUAGAAUUGCCUUUGAUACUGCUCAUCUUGAGUUUGGGAGAGGUUGAUGGAAUUCCAGGUGUAGCAGUGAAAUGCGUAGAUAUCUGGAAGAACACCAGUGGCGAAGGCGGUCAACUGGCCCAUAACUGACGCUCAUGCACGAAAGCGUGGGGAGCAAACAGG